UCAUCUUGGCCUAUGCUUUUUCUCCUCCCCUGUACUCAGUUAUAACUGGGAAGUCUGGCAGGAUGCAAAACAAUCUCCCUCUCAGUUUAGGAGGGCCGUCCUAAGAAUAGGGCUGGCUCUUAAAGGUUCAAGAGGACAAU